CUCAGGGAGGCGGGGGGCGGCCGCCCGGUACGGCCCCACCGCAUCAGCCCCCACCCCACCCGCCCCGGGGGUAAAACCCACCCGGGAGUCCCACCCCCAGGCUCACCCCACCGCCCGGGGGUACCCGGUUGGGGGUUCAUGGAGAUGCUGAUCCCCGCCAGCGCUCACAGCAGCUUGGGUUUUAUUUAAAGCGAUUCGGGGGGCAGCCUGGGAGAGCCCCCCCGGCCUGCAGCGGCUACAGGAAAACAGCUCCUCUGCUCAAGCAACCAUAAAUUCCUUAUUUCCCUCCCAACCUGAAGAUGGUUAUUUUCAUGCUCAUCAGAGAUGGGAAACGACGUGUCUGGGCCAAAGCUGAGAGAGGCUUGAAGUGCCAUGGAUCUCUGCUGUGGGGCUCUGCAACGUUCAGGGGUGGAUUGUCCAGAGAAUCUAAUUAGGAAUGAGCAGACCUUCCCGAGCUGUAAUAUGCCAAGUAAUUAAGUGAUUAGUAUUGAUUGUUGGAAUGCCUAAUGAGCAGUUAUCACUGAAUGAUUAAUUAAUCCAAUCAAAAGAGUAAUAAAAAUUCUGCAGGUGUGA